UAUACUUAUUAUUCUUUGGUUUGGUCUUUUCAUGCUGUCCCAUAUUUCCUGGAUAUUUUGUGUUAUGGAUUUGUUAGACUUCAGAUUUUCUUUGCUUGACAAGUUUAUUUCCUCUAGUUUGUCUUCAGCAUCUGAGAUUCUGUCUUCGAUCUCUUGUAUUCUAUUGGUUAUACUUGCAUCUGUGGUUCCUGAUUGUUUACUCAGCUUUUCCACUUCCAGCAUUCCCUCAGUUUGUGUUUUCUUUAUUGUCUCUAAUUCAGUUUUCAGGUCCUGAACUGUUUCCUUCAGCUGUUUAAUUGUAUUUUCUUGGCUUUUUUGGCUUUCCUUGAUUUCUGGCAUCUUUUGGUUUGUCUUUUCUUCCAUUUUUCUGAAGGAUUUUCUGAUUUCCUGUCUUAGGUUCUCUAUCAUCUGCAUGAAGUUGUUUUUAAGGUUGCUCUCUUCUGCUUCUUCUGUGUUGGGAUGUUCAUGUCUUGCUGGUGUAGAGUCCCUGGACUCUGGUGGUGUCAUAUUGGUUUUCCUGUUGUUGGAUGUGUUCUUAUAUUGACAUCUUCCCAUCUCUUUUUCCAGUGGGUACAGUUGGUGUCACUUCCGUUCCUGGUGUGUAUGGGUCCGGUGUUCUCUUCAGGUGUGAGGCACUCCCUCUCCAGAUGUACUGCCUCCUGGACUGGGUCAGACAGUCACAGAAUACAGGCUUCAAACUGCUUUUCACACCAUUCUGGUUGGAAAUGGAACCUUUGGAGGCUCAUCAUGUUACCUUUAGCAAAACUGGAAACCAGACGUUGAGAAUGCCAGUGGCCAGCCUUUCAUUAAAAAGCUUUGCAAAGGAAGUCUCUUGGUCAGUGUGACUCACUUGCCUGAAAUUAACUGCUGUUGAUUUCAGCUGCUCCUUAAUCAACGAAACCCAGCCAAUUCAUGUGGACUGAGACACACAUGGCCUUUCAAGUUAAUUGAGUGCUUACUAUGUGUGACUCACUGUAAAAAGGAUGGGAGAGAAAAUGAGGAGACAAAUAAGGUACAGGGUCUGCCUUCAGUGAAGCUACAAUUAGUUUCAGGAUGCAUAUUUCUUUAUUUUGCUCAUAGUUAAAAGUUUCUCUCAUACAAGAAACAAAUGAAUGGGAAAACAUAUUCUGUAAAUAUUUUAAGCUUCAUUAAUGAGAAACAAAAUAAAACACAGAACAACAACAGCAAAACAAUCUGGGAAAUUCAAGACAUUUUAAUCCUUUAUUGUUUUAUUUUAUUAUCUUACAGUGCUAAAAUAAAAUCUAUUCUAUUUAUUCCAUAAAUAUUUGGUAAACUUUAGAGACAUAACGUUUUGAGUUAAUUUGAGUUCAAUUCUACUUUUGUCCUAUAUGUGUAAGUUGUCUGUUGGAAAACCCAUAUUGUUUAUUGGGAGGUGGGAUGCUGAGUUACAUCUGUUGUAUCCACAGACAUCUAUCUUCUGUGACCUCAAGAGCACCAUUCUGCGUAAGAUACUUGUGAGGAGAAGAGGAAGAUUUAGAUAAAAUUUGGGGUUUGGGACUUACAGAUCUAAGACUGGACAGAGAGCAACAAAACAUCUGGCAAAGGAUCUUGGAAAUCUGGCUGAGAAAUUUUUAAAAGUAUUCAUUUCUUGUCCCCCAUAGCUUGAAUAACUAAAAAGUUUCCCUAAAAAUUUUUAUUGGACUUGAGAAUAAGUCAUUACUUUUCCAGUGUGAAGAUGCUGAUAUUACUAGAGGCACUGGGCAUCUUAUGCCAUUUCUGUAACCUAUUUUUAUAUGGGUGAGCCAACAACAGCCAUUUUUGUCUUGAGUAGUAUCCAUGUAAUUGAAAAUGUGACAAUUCUUUUAAAACAUCAUCAACAGACUUCCUAAUUAAGCUGCCAAUACAAACUGAACUGUCAAUGUCACCGUGUGCUGUUUGACAAAUGAAUAGUGUUGCUUGAACCGUGUUAAGUAAACAGUGCUGUCCCUUCUAUGAAGAGUUUCAUGUGUUCUUUGUACCAUAGCACUUACUAAAUAACUUGACAAAAUUCUCAUGCCAUUUCUUUUCUUUUAAUUUUAAAACAUUAUUACUUUAUUUUUCAGUAAGGAACAGAUCUACUUUAACUAGUAACUUCAGUUCUAGGAUUGAUCCUUAAUAGCAUAGCAUGGAUUGUCUCUCUUCCAAAGUCCUGGUCAUGAGGAAUUCUUAGUUAUCACCUCAUGCUAUAUCAAACUGUUUGUGUUUAUUACCUACUGUUAAAGACAUCUCUGCGUUACAAAUUUAUACUUAGUGAAAACUAAGUCUGUACUCAGUACACAUGUAUGAUCAUGGGAUGUAAAGUAGCCCUUUCCACUAUGGCUCUUUUAAGGACAUAUUAAAGACAGGAAGAUGGGGUCAGCACAAUAGCACCUUUAUUGAUUUGUACUUUAUAGUCAGUAUACUGAGAAAAAGCCUAAAUAAAGCAAAUAUUUUUUAUACAGUCUAUUCUCCUGGACCUCAUCAAGAGUUUUCAGCCUGGCUCUUUAUAAAUUAAUGUCCACUCUCUUUUGCCACUGACCCUCGGCACUCUUCCAAGGGGAAACUCCCCUUCUCCUCCUUUGACUUGUCUGUUACUAGAACAGUAACCACAUCAUUCAUCAAGAGCUCAUGAGGAACAAGUGCUUUAUGUGAGUCCUCUCAGAGCAUGCAUGGGCAGUGGACAUCAUCCACUGGAGAAGAAUGCAUCUUGCUUAAGGAAGGAAUGGGGGCCACACAUGGAGUUAUACUCCAAAGCCUGGUCUAUUAUCAUCCCCACACUCUGUUCUUCAGCUACAUCUCAGAAAAAUUGCUAAUGCUUGUGUGUGUGUGUGUGUGUGUGUGUGUGUGUGUGUGUGUACAGUGUGUAGAGAGUCAUACCAAAUCUGGAUGAAGUCCAGACUCAUUGCAUUUAAUAUUCCUGAACAACACAUUCUCCAACAGAUAAAAACCCAGGAAAUCACUGUUGUUUAGAGACUGGGGGAAGUGCAGAGCAAUUGGGAGGAAACAAAGUUGGAAACAAACCAGUUGAGUUAAACCUUUAGCCUUUACCUCAUGA
rnacentral:lncRNA from 1 species